UGGGGCAUAGCCAAGUGGUAAGGCACGGGUUUUUGGUACCUGCAUCCUAGGUUCGAAUCCUAGUGCCCCAGCCA
rnacentral:tRNA from 1 species